AUGAGCAGCGAUCGGCCUCCUCCGUACUUCCCGCUCUUCCCUGAAGGAGCGCCGACCUUCCCGUCAGCCCUCAGCUCCCAGCCCACAGCCUAUCCAGGCUCACCUUAUCAGACCUUCCCCCCUGCAGGUGGAGCAGGUCACUCCUACUACCAGACUCAUCCGCCUGCUGCCGGGCUGAUGUCCCCACACGGGCCCCUACUGACUCAGCCUGGGUACCAGGGCGGCCAUGACGGGCCACACAGCGCCCCCUAUCCACCAAAACCUGCAGGUAGGACAAAGGACAAACACACAGCUCAUCAGCUACGCUGCAUUUUCUGAACAUACACAUUCUCUUUAGAUGUCGUAGCCAAACAUUUUACCCCCUGACCUCAUGUAACUGUCUUUCCUAGUUGUUAGCAUUAGCUUCCAGUAACUCCGGCUGCACUGGCACAGGCUGUGUUUGACCAGUUAACAGUUAAACAUGUGGCAGCGAUGUCAUCCCAGCUCACCAAACGUGCUGGACAGCCAUUUUGAAAAGAGGCCAACUCUCUGUUAUCUGCUGUGUGGGACACGUGGGACAUGUGGGACGUGUGCUGACGUCCUUCCUCUCUGUCAGUGUACGUGGUGGAGCGCCAUCAGAAUCAGGAGGGGGGCGGCAGGUCGUGGUUGGCGCCGUGCUCCGCGGCUCUGUGCUGCUGCUGCCUCUGGGACGCGCUGACGUCUCAGCACUGCUGGCCCGUCAACUGCUGCUGGGAGAACAACUACUGAAGAAGACGUGAACGUGUGCGAGCGCGCCGCCACUUCCUGUUUAUCAGAUAAUCCACAAUAAACAGACGGUCCGAGCGGUGUGACGUUUAUUU
rnacentral:lncRNA from 1 species